UCAACCACUGGAAGCUGCCCACAGCAGUCUAGUGAGGUGCUGGUUGUGUGCAGCAAUGCACAAAACCGUCAUCUCAUCAGAUCAUAAGGGAUGGAAUUCAGAACACAGUUAUACCCAGUAUGCUGGGAUCGAGCUGUUGAAAUCCUUGGUUAGGAUGUUUUUGCAAUAUAUGCUGCAUAGAAUCCUGGGAUUUGCUGUAAAUGAAAUGAGUAGUAGCUGUCUUUAUGUUUUAAAACCCUUUAGAUUAUGUAGUCUUGUAUCCACUAUCUGACCAGUGUGAAGUAGUGCUUUGGGAAAUGUCUGUCUUCAACAAUAUCAUAGGAUCAAAAAUCAUCCGAUGAGGAGGAGAAUACUGGUGACAAUGAAGAAGGGGAAGAGUAUGAUGAAAAAGAAGAAACAGAUAAGAAUGAGGCAGGAGAAGAAGUAUUAGAUGAUAAAGACUACCAGGGAUCUGAAAAUGAGGGACAAAGUGGUAAAUCAGUGCUAUUCUGUGAUAAAUCUACUGCAUUCAUUUCUGGAUUUCACUGUAAAUGAUAUUAUUAUUUUAAAAAUAUCAUUUAGUGAUGUUUUAGAUUGCAUUGUCUCAUUGAUAUUACCAUUUCAUAUAGGGCUAGAAAGCUUUUAUGCAGCCAGUUGAUCCCAGACUGUAAAAUGUCUACAUUUAAUGAUAUUUAAUGACAUCACAGGUUCAGAAAUCAUUUGAUGAGGAAGAGGCCGAUGAUGUUGAAGAAGAUGAUGAAGAAGAGUACUAUGAUGAAAAGAAAGAUGACAUCAAGGAAGAACAGGAUACAACGGAACAAAAUGUUAAUCAAAUACCUGAAUAUGAGGGACAAAACAUUAAAUCAUGUGGGAGUGAGGAAAAAAGUUAUGUUCUUACUGAAACCAUAAAGAAAGAAAACGCUAUUCUAGAAAAAGACACCUCUAAACAAGAGGGAGAAAAUGCUGAAGUUUGUGUAACAAACACUUCUGAUCUAGCUGUUGCAGGCAGCCGUGACAGAACAUCUGGAAGACUACUGGAUAAGGUGGGAAUUUUAAAAAUGAAUAAUAAUAACAUGCAAUCUUUUAUUGCCUGGUAGCAAAAAAAGAUGAUAAACUGUUAUUAGUAUACCCGACACAUACC
rnacentral:lncRNA from 1 species